rnacentral:rRNA from 1 species
CACGUAGGGUGCGAGCGUUGUCCGGAAUUAUUGGGCGUAAAGAGCUCGUAGGCGGUGUGUCGCGUCGGCCGUGAAAACCUGCAGCUUAACUGUGGCUUGCGGUCGAUACGGGCAUCACUGGAGUUCGGCAGGGGAGACUGGAAUUCCUGGUGUAGCGGUGAAAUGCGCAGAUAUCAGGAGGAACACCGGUGGCAAAGGCGGGUCUCUAGUACGGUACUGACGCUCAUGCACGAAAGCGUGGGGAGCAAACAGG